GACGAACGCUGGCGGCACGCUUAACACAUGCAAGUCGAACGAAGAUGUUUCACCGUAGCUUGCUACACCGAGACAUUUUAGUGGCGGACGGGUGAGUAACACGUGAGCAAUCUGCCUUUCAGAGGGGGAUACCAGUUGGAAACGACUGUUAAUACCGCAUAACAUAUCGAGAUCGCAUGAUAUUGAUAUCAAAGAUUUAUCGCUGAAAGAUGAGCUCGCGUCUGAUUAGAUAGUUGGUGAGGUAACGGCUCACCAAGUCGACGAUCAGUAGCCGGACUGAGAGGUUGGACGGCCACAUUGGGACUGAGACACGGCCCAGACUCCUACGGGAGGCAGCAGUGGGGAAUAUUGCACAAUGGGCGCAAGCCUGAUGCAGCGAUGCCGCGUGAGGGAAGAAGGUUUUAGGAUUGUAAACCUCUGUCUUCAGGGACGAUAAUGACGGUACCUGAGGAGGAAAG
rnacentral:rRNA from 1 species